rnacentral:rRNA from 1 species
GCAGCCGCGGUAAUACGGAGGAUGCGAGCGUUAUCCGGAUUUAUUGGGUUUAAAGGGAGCGUAGACGGGAUGUUAAGUCAGCUGUGAAAGCCUGCGGCCCAACCGCAGAACUGCAGUUGAUACUGGCGUUCUUGAGUGCGUACGAGGUAUGUGGAAUUCGUGGUGUAGCGGUGAAAUGCUUAGAUAUCACGAAGAACUCCGAUUGCGAAGGCAGCGUACCAGUCCGUAACUGACGUUGAUGCUCGAAAGUGUGGGUAUCAAACAGGAUUAGAUACCCC